rnacentral:rRNA from 1 species
UGCGUCUCGACUCCUCCCCUCCCCCGGCACCCAUUAACCCCAGAAUCGGUUCCCCUCACCUCCGUCGACCGUUCCCACCCCCUAGUGCGCCUCCUAAACAGCCAUAAUGGCCACCACGAACGCUUGAAACUGCAGCCAUUAGACACAUUAAUCCUGGCGACGCCCCGCUCAACUCCGGCUCACCCCUGCCCUAUAAAAGGUACCCAGAUGAGAGCCUCGAAGCCACUCACUAGUCCAUCCGAAAACCCCUCUCUGAACCUCCUCCUCUGCGAGCAAUUGCUCGUCAGAGUUCGGCAACUCCGGCGACCGCUCCACACCGUCACGGGACAAGUCCGAGCCUGUGAUCUUAUCCAAAGGACUCCCCUUGUCGACCUCUUCGCCGAUCUGCUACUACUUGACGUUGGGGGCCUUCUUCCUCAACUCCGGCGACCUUAUUCCGCAACUCCGGCGACUAACUCCGAUAUAUCGUAACGAGAAGGAGAGACGACUCAAUAGAAUAUUUCAUCUUCAUCAACAGUACAAGGCAAGUUACAUCUUGAUCAUGCCCUUUUAUACCUAUGUUUUAUAUAUGCAUUUAGUCCUUUGAUGUAGGGUUUGCAUGAAUAUGUUAGUUGGUUAUAUUAUAGUCCCAGUAGUGCAAUGAGGUAGGUCUGAGCCUUUACUUCAUGUCGCCAACGUUGUAGGGAUUUUGUUAUGCCAUUGUAGACGGGGAUUGGUAUGUGAGAUCAUGAAAGUUGUGAGUGAUAUAAUAAUCAAGAUAACCUUAAUGUGGCAACAUUAACACACAUCUGGGUGGAUUGGUAAGGGGCACCCUGGAGAAAUCAGUGGACUUGCCCGGACACCCUGGAGAAACCAGUGGACAUGCCCAGGGGAUCCCGGAGUACCCGUGUGAUCACCCUAUGGACUGUCGCCCAGGCUCAAAGGGAUUCAUCAAUUUUUCAUGACUAGAAGCUUACCUGCACAGCCACAAUCUAUUAUGGGCUCUGGCUUAGUUGAGUACGUUGUGUGACCUCUUACCAUGGUAGACUAGCAGAUGUAGUUAUAUAUGUAGGUCUACUGGUCUACCCAGGAUUAAGAGGGAACACUUCAGAAAGACUAUGUCUCGAUCUUCCGAUCUCAAACACCAGGCACUGCGAGGACUACAAAUGAGGUGAUCGAGUCUUGUUGGGAAAAGUGUGCAAACCACUGCAGAGUUUAAAACUAAUUGAUUAGCCGUGUCCCCGGUUAUGGACAAUUUGAGUAUCUGGAAAGUGGGAAUUGAGCGAUCUCAUCACUCUAAAUAAUCUAAUGGGUUUUAAUUAAUUUGGGCAUAGAUUGAAUGGAGCAACCAUUACAAUUAUAUUAUGAUGAACUUUGUAGUAACUAUAUGAUAUUCUUUUGAUAGGGAAAAAUCAGCUUUAUGAAAAUUAAACUUAGAACCUUCCAGCGGUCAUAUUGCAUGUAGAAGUAGGACAUUUAUUCAUCUCUUAUGGUGUGACUUGUCAGUACAUUCAACGUACUGACCUACAUGGCUGCAACGUAUCAUGUUGCAAGAUUUCUAGGACGAGUGAGUUUUUGUUAUAGGGUUACAGUCUGCACGCAACUUGUCGAUGGCGUUGAUGGGACUCCACACCCAUUUGUCUGUUUCUGCUGAGAUUCUUAAGGUAUAUAUCAGUUUUGUUAUUUAUACAUGUGAUUGCACUUUGAUAUAUACAUUGAUGUACUGUGUUGCUAGCAUAUCGAUCAGGGAUAGCACAGAUACACAGAGACUUGGCCGUCUAAGGUCGAGUCGUUACAGGAUGGAAGCAAGGGAGAUUGGGAGGGGGUGGAGGCGGUGAUGGUUUUGGUCUAGGGUUUCCAGAGAGGAGAAGAGGGUCCUCUACAUUUUUGUAUGUUUCGCGAAUCGUUUUAAC